rnacentral:tRNA from 1 species
AAAAAGAUAAGCUAAAUUAAGCUAUUAGGCUCAUAACCUAAAUAUAUAAGAUAAUCUUAUUCUUUUUA